ACCAGCAUGGUGUAGUGGUUUGAGCACUGGACUUUAACUCUGGAGGCCAGGGUUCAAAUCCCUGCUUGGCUA